UGCAAGUCGACGAGGCAGCGGCCUUCGGGCCGUUGUCGAGUGGCGAACGGGUGAGUAACACGUGAGGAACCUGCCCCGGAGACCGGGAUAACCAGGGGAAACUCUGGCUAAUACCGGAUGCCCCCGGAUGGUCGCAUGGCCAACCGAGGAAACGCUCCGGUGCUCCGGGAGGGCCUCGCGGCCUAUCAGCUUGUUGGUGGGGUAACGGCCUACCAAGGCAUCGACGGGUAGCUGGUCUGAGAGGACGAUCAGCCACACUGGGACUGAGACACGGCCCACACUCCUACGGGAGGCAGCAGUGGGGAAUAUUGCGCAAUGGGCGAAAGCCUGACGCAGCAACGCCGCGUGGGGGAUGAAUGCCUUCGGGUUGUAAACCCCUUUCAGCAGGGACAAAAAUGACGGUACCUGCAAAAGAAGCCCCGGCCAACUACGUGCCAGCAGCCGCGGUAACACGUAGGGGGCAAGCGUUGUCCGGAUUUAUUGGGCGUAAAGAGCUCGUAGGCGGUUGCGUAAGUCGGAUGUGAAAACUCAGGGCUCAACCCGGAGACGCCAUCCGAUACUGCGCUGACUAGAGUCCGGUAGAGGAGCAUGGAAUUCCUGGUGUAGCGGUGAAAUGCGCAUAUAUCAGGAGAAACACCAGUGGCGAAGGCGGUGCCCUGGGCCGGUACUGACGCUGAGGAGCGAAAGCGUGGGUAGCGAACAGGAUUAGAUACCCUGGUAGUCCACGCCGUAAACGUUGGGCACUAGGUGUGGGGCCUCCUUAACGGGUUCCGUGCCGUAGCUAACGCAUUAAGUGC
rnacentral:rRNA from 1 species